GCGGGUGUAGCUCAACGGUAGAGCCCCAGCCUUCCAAGCUGGUCACGCGGGUUCGACUCCCGUCACCCGCUCCA
rnacentral:tRNA from 1 species